rnacentral:rRNA from 1 species
UACAGAGGGUGCGAGCGUUAAUCGGAAUUACUGGGCGUAAAGCGCGCGUAGGCGGCUUUGCAAGUCGGGUGUGAAAUCCCCAGGCUUAACUUGGGAACUGCAUCCGAUACUGGAUGGCUUGAAUCCGGGAGAGGGAUGCGGAAUUCCAGGUGUAGCGGUGAAAUGCGUAGAUAUCUGGAGGAACACCGGUGGCGAAGGCGGCAUCCUGGACCGGCAUUGACGCUGAUGAGCGAAAGCCAGGGGAGCAAACGGG